rnacentral:rRNA from 1 species
GACGAACGCUGGCGGCGUGCUUAACACAUGCAAGUCGAACGGUAAGGCCCCAGCUUGCUGGGGUACACGAGUGGCGAACGGGUGAGUAACACGUGGGUGACCUGCCCCGCACUUCGGGAUAAGCCUGGGAAACUGGGUCUAAUACCGGAUAGGACCGCACCGUGAGGGUGUGGUGGAAGGUUUUUCGGUGUGGGAUGGGCCCGCGGCCUAUCAGCUUGUUGGUGGGGUAAUGGCCUACCAAGGCGGCGACGGGUAGCCGGCCUGAGAGGGUGGACGGCCACAUUGGGACUGGGACACGGCCCAGACUCCUACGGGAGGCAGCAGUGGGGAAUAUUGCACAAUGGGCGGAAGCCUGAUGCAGCGACGCCGCGUGGGGGAUGACGGCCUUCGGGUUGUAAACUCCUUUCACCAUCGACGAAGGUUUUCUGACGGUAGAUGGAGAAGAAGCACCGGCUAACUACGUG